UGAGGAUGAAUCUAUCCCGAACCUGAUUUCAUGUGAAUGAAAUUCUAUCGGAUCUGACUUCUGAAACGCAACCUAUGGUUCUUAGCAUAUCUCAACAUGCUAACAUGCUUUACAAGUCUAGUUUUAGUCUGUAGUCCUUUGCUAACUUCAUAGCUAACAUUAUCUAUAUUUAAAAUCUGCAAGAGUUUAACUGAAAUAUGUUUUCCCCUCAGGAAGAAACGUCCAGAGAGACUCGUCCAUGGACGCGACAAUGCUGGUUCUGGUACUGUGCCAUAAUGAGAAGAAACGUCCAGAGAGACUCAACCAAGGACGCGACAAUGCUGUUUCUGGUACUGUGCCAUAAUGAGAAGAAACGUCCAGAGAGACUCGUCCAUGGACGCGACAAUGCUGGUUCUGGUACUGUGCCAUAAUGAGUAAGUACUGGGGCUGUUUUGGGCUCUCUUGCACCAGAUUCAUGUUGUAGCCAUCGAUGAUGGCAAACCCCUUGUAUUGUUGUGGGGGAAAGGCUGGUGUUGCUAAAGGGUUUUCAUAUUAAGACCACAUUUACACAUAGCCGGGUAUUUACAGAAACGAAUAUUUCUGCCCCUCCAUUUUCAAAAAUAACGUCGUACACACAAGAUCGUUU
rnacentral:lncRNA from 1 species